GCGGCAGCUUACCAUGCAAGUCGAGCGGUAACAGGGGGUGCUUGCACCCCGCUGACGAGCGGCGGACGGGUGAGUAAUGCAUAGGAAUCUGCCCAGUAGUGGGGGAUAGCCCGGGGAAACCCGGAUUAAUACCGCAUACGCCCUUUGGGAGAAAGCAGGGGAUCUUCGGACCUUGCGCUAUUGGAUGAGCCUAUGUCGGAUUAGCUAGUUGGUGGGGUAAAGGCCUACCAAGGCGACGAUCCGUAGCUGGUCUGAGAGGAUGAUCAGCCACAUCGGGACUGAGACACGGCCCGAACUCCUACGGGAGGCAGCAGUGGGGAAUAUUGGACAAUGGGGGCAACCCUGAUCCAGCCAUGCCGCGUGUGUGAAGAAGGCUUUCGGGUUGUAAAGCACUUUCAGUGAGGAGGAAAACCUUCUGGUUAAUACCCAUGAGGCUUGACGUUACUCACAGAAGAAGCACCGGCUAACUCCGUGCCAGCAGCCGCGGUAAUACGGAGGGUGCAAGCGUUAAUCGGAAUUACUGGGCGUAAAGCGCGCGUAGGUGGUUUGAUAAGCGAGAUGUGAAAGCCCCGGGCUUAACCUGGGAACGGCAUUUCGAACUGUCAGGCUA
rnacentral:rRNA from 1 species